rnacentral:piRNA from 1 species
UUUAAAGGGAAUCACCAGCCUCUGUGGUUUU